GACAUAGGUGCCGAGCGUUAGGCGGAAUCACUGGGCUUAAAGCGUGUGUAGGCGGGUCGUUAAGUGUCUUGUGAAAUCCCCCGGCUCAACCGGGGAAUGGCUGGGCAUACUGGCGAUCUUGAGCAGUCUAGGGGCAGAUGGAACAAGUGGUGGAGCGGUGAAAUGCGUAGAUAUCACUUGGAACGCCAAAGGUGAAAACAGUCUGCUGGGGACUUGCUGACGCUGAGACACGAAAGCCAGGGGAGCGAACGGG
rnacentral:rRNA from 1 species